GAAUGAAGCAAGCAAGGUAAUGUGCACAGAAAUUGAUUUUGGCCUCUAGGCCUGUCCUCUUUGAUGCCUUUUGGCUUUGAUUUGGGGCAUGGUUUCGCAACAAAAUG